AGCUCCAAUAGCGUAUAUUAAAGUUGUUGCGGUUAAAAAGCUCGUAGUUGGAUUUCUGCCGAGGACGACCGGUCCGCCCUCAGGGUGAGCAUCUGGAUCGGCCUGGGCAUCCUCUUGGGGAACGUAGCUGCACUUGACUGUGUGGUGCGGUAUCCAGGACUUUUACUUUGAGGAAAUUAGAGUGUUUCAAGCAGGCUUCCGCCUUGAAUACAUUAGCAUGGAAUAAUAUGAUAUGACUGUGGUUUUAUUUUGUUGGCUUUUAGAAUUAGAGUAAUGGUUAAUAGGGAUAGUUGGGGGCAUUCAUAUUUAACUGUCAGAGGUGAAAUUCUUGGAUUUGUUAAGGAUGAACGACUGCGAAAGCAUUUGCCAAGGAUGCUUUCAUUGAUCAAGACGAAAGUUAACACG
rnacentral:rRNA from 1 species